rfam:Aedes albopictus isolate Foshan contig20661, whole genome shotgun sequence.
UAGCCUAGUGGUAAGGGUUAUGGACCGCCAAUCCGGAGACGGCGGGUUCGAUUCCCGU